rnacentral:rRNA from 1 species
CAGUCGCCGCGGUAAUACGUAGGUGGCAAGCGUUGUCCGGAAUUAUUGGGCGUAAAGGGCUCGCAGGCGGUUUCUUAAGUCUGAUGUGAAAGCCCCCGGCUCAACCGGGGAGGGUCAUUGGAAACUGGGAGACUUGAGUGCAGAAGAGGAGAGUGGAAUUCCACGUGUAGCGGUGAAAUGCGUAGAGAUGUGGAGGAACGCCAGUGGCGAAGGCGACUCUCUGGUCUGUAACUGACGCUGAGGAGCGAAAGCGUGGAGAGCGAACAGGAUUAGAUACCCGCGUAGUCCCUGUCUCUUAUAC